UACAGAGGCCACAAGCGUUUAGGCGGAAUCACUGGGCUUAAAGCGUGUGUAGGCGGGUUGGUAAGUAUCUUGUGAAAUCCCACGGCUUAACCGUGGAAUUGCUGGGUAUACUGCCGAUCUUGAGUCAUCUAGAGGUAACCGGAACAGAUGGUGGAGCGGUGAAAUGCAUAGAUAUCAUCUGGAACGCCAAUGGUGCAGACAGGUUACUGGGGAUGUACUGACGCUGAGGCACGAAAGCCAGGGGAGCAAACGGG
rnacentral:rRNA from 1 species